rnacentral:rRNA from 1 species
AACGCGAAGAACCUUACCCACCUUUGACAUGUACGGAAUCCUUUAGAGAUAGAGGAGUGCUCGAAAGGGAGCCGUAACACAGGUGCUGCAUGGCUGUCGUCAGCUCGUGUCGUGAGAUGUUGGGUUAAGUCCCGCAACGAGCGCAACCCUUGCCAUUAGUUGCUACGAAAGGGCACUCUAAUGGGACUGCCGGUGACAAACCGGAGGAAGGUGGGGAUGACGUCAAGUCCUCAUGGCCCUUAUAGGUGGGGCUAGAAACGUCAUACAAUGGCCGGUACAAAGGGUCGCUAAGCCGCGAGGUGGAGCCAAUCCCAUAAAGCCGGUCGUAGUCCGGAUCGCAGUCUGCAACUCGACUGCGUGAAGUCGGAAUCGCUAGUAAUCGUGGAUCAGCAUGUCACGGUGAAUACGUUCCCGGGUCUUGUACACACCG